AUUGAACGCUGGCGGCAUGCCUUACACAUGCAAGUCGAACGGUAACGGGCCUUCGGGUGCCGACGAGUGGCGAACGGGUGAGUAAUGCAUCGGAACGUACCUUUCAGUGGGGGAUAACGUAGCGAAAGUUACGCUAAUACCGCAUAUUCUGUGAGCAGGAAAGCAGGGGAUCGCAAGACCUUGCGCUGAUUGAGCGGCCGAUGUCAGAUUAGCUAGUUGGUGAGGUAAAGGCUCACCAAGGCGACGAUCUGUAGCGGGUCUGAGAGGACUGAUCCGCCACACUGGAACUGAGACACGGUCCAGACUCCUACGGGAGGCAGCAGUGGGGAAUUUUGGACAAUGGGGGCAACCCUGAUCCAGCCAUGCCGCGUGAGUGAAGAAGG
rnacentral:rRNA from 1 species